rnacentral:misc_RNA from 1 species
ACGGUUGGCACGCAAUCCCCCCCCAAUCGAUCUCACCCCCCGGGCGACAAGGCCCGAGGGGCGUCCCGAACGUGUUGCCUGUGUUGCCUACCCACCCCGAAGGGGAAACGAUCGGCCCGACAAGGUCCCUCUUCCAUCCGGCGCCUCGCGAGGGGCUGUCCGGAGGACCAAGCAGUAGCCCCCGCGUCCCAUCCGCGCCUCAGGCGGGCGCGCCCGGCCCGCGGGGACCUACUGAUCUCUCGGAUGCGGCGCACGCAGAGGACUCGGCGGUCGUCCCGGCCCCGGCACGUCCCGAAAGAAUCGAAAGACCCAAAUCUCCCGAGAGACGGCCGCGCCCGGCACCCGCGUGCG